AAGUCGUAACAAGGUUUCCGUAGGUGAACCUGCGGAAGGAUCAUUAACACGUAUCCAAACGUUAAAACAAUCAAAACAACUUUCCGGGCUAUGAUUUACCAGAGAUUGCGGAACUACGCGGGUUACAAGAGCAGGAUUGAAAGUUCACGGGGUGCCUACGUGAGAAAAAUGGAACAGUUACAAUCGAGCGGUAGUUUCAUAGGCAUUGUUUCCCCAAGCAGUCAGUGUCGGAAAGUGUCAUUGAUUGUGCAAGGAUAGCGCUUCCACGAUUCCUGUAGACCGUACACUCGGGCAGGAGCUAUGCCAAAGGGUCCCCAUGCCCCCUUACAACCCCACAGUUUAAUGUAAAGCUCAAUGUAAUACAUUGGGUAAAAAAACCGAACAACUGUUAACAAUGGAUAUCUUGGUUCUC
rnacentral:misc_RNA from 1 species